rnacentral:tRNA from 1 species
GGGUGUAGCUCAGUAGUAGAGCAUGUGCUUAGCAUGCACGAGGUCCUGGGUUCAACCCCAGUACUGCCA